UGUUGGAGAGGAUGUGGAGAAACAGGAAGUGUAAAUUAAUUCACCCAUUGUAAAAGACAGUGUAGUGAAUUCUCAAUGAUCUGGAAUCAGAAAUACAAUUUGACCCAGCAAUUCCAUUACUGGAUAUAUAUCCAAAUUAUUAUAAAUCAUUCUACUAUAAAAA